rnacentral:sRNA from 12 species
UUCUGAAUAUCUUCAUAUACCGAACCGUGUGCAUAAGGCUCCUGACAGGGCUUCACGGACUGACGUGUGACGGAACGCCACUGAUAUGUCUGAUAGGACAUUGAGGUAACAGAGCGUCUUAAAAGAGGGCAACUGAUUUUAAGGGAGUACGUAAGACACUUGGUACAACUUCAGGGCGUCAGGUGGGAUAGAAGGAUGAGGGAAAAGGCAGGGUGUUAGGGACUGUUCCUGUAUAAUAGACGACCACGGUGUGGGAAUAACCCGUGAAUAUCAUAAGGCUUUGCGGGCUUAUGGGGAUAGCGGGAAAUAUGCAGGUGGGAAAUGUGCGGCUGAGACGGGGGAAACUUCGGGUAUAAAGUCUGACACCUGUACACUGGCACAAGUCCGUACAAAUUUCUUAUUAUAAGUCGAAUAAUAAUAAAUCUGAAUGUCGUGCUGGUGUUGGGGGUACAAAAUAAUCCCCUGUGUACAAGGUUGCGAUGAGAACCGUAAUUCGUAGGGAAGUAUUGGAGUCGCUAUCCAAUGCUCAGACCCUGCGAUACAGUGGCUGAAGAUUCCUGUUUCCUUUGAAGAUACGCUGAAUAAAAGGCGUGGUAUGUGGGGAUGUUCAG